UUUUAAUCUAUUGGGUCUAAAUAUCACCCAAAAUAUUAUAAUCAGAUUAAGACAUUUUACUUGCAUUGUAUUUUUUAGAAAAAACUUCAAAUAUUACUCAUGUGGUUUUGCACAUUAGCACUUUAGUAUCCUGUGGUUUAAAAUGUAUCAAUUUAGUAACUUUGUGGUUUCAUUUUUCUUUUUUUAUUAUCACUUUACUAAUUUUUUUUGUUAAAUCAAUGACAAAGUUAAAACUAGAGAGUACUAAAGUGAAUAUUUGAUAAACCUAGGUAGGGUGUCUGAAGUCUUUUGUAUAUGAUUUAACGAGAUGUUUACGGAGGAGCCGACGAAAAGAGAAAAAUGAAAUCACAGGGUACUAAAUUAAUAUACUUUAAACAAUGAAGUACUAAAGCGAGAAAGUGCGAAACCACGGAGGUGGUAUUUGAAGUUAACACUUUUUUUUAUAUAUGACUAUUUUAAAUUCUAAAAAUGUCAUAUUCUUUCGCCCUUUACAUCCUAACAUUCUUAUUUGGCUCGAGUGACUUAGCCUUCUAUUCUGACUUUAACUUAUUCGAAGUUUAUCUUAUACUUUUGACUGAUGAUUUGUUCUGAUACCAAUUAUGAAAACGUCCUGCAUCUCAGGGAAUCAUCUGUUCUAGAACUAUUCUAACUCUAACACGCUUAAUCCUUAUAACUUUUUAUAUCUAGCCACGGUUUAAAAUAUUAUAAUCAAAUAAAGAGGUUUAAUUUAAUCCUAUUAUAUUUUAUAUAUAAAACUAUUUUAAAUUCUAGGAUCGUCACACUUUGUAUGUGAGUCAAAGUAAAAUCUAGUCGAAUUUAGUCGACUCAACUUGAGUUUCGAGUUUCGAGUUAGCGACUUUUAGUGCGAGUAUAUAGUGACUAAAUGCAGGGGAUUAACAAAGAGCAAAAGAGAGAAUGGAAGGUCCCUCAAAUAUCUCACAUGUAAGGGGGAGGUGAAUUGAAUUUCAAAUUAUUGCGAUUUAUUAAUUAAUGCAUGGUACUUUAAAAACAAAAAUUAUCUCCAACAAAUAAAUCACUUCGUCACAUUUGCUCCAAUUUCGCUAAAAGAAAAAUAAUGUAGCAGCUAAUUCAGUUGUCAUUAUAUCAUCAUCACCAAAAGAUGGCGAUGAUAAGAUAGAGCUCAUUGUUAUGGAAAAUAAUUCUAUAGAGGUAUGUGUCCGAAUGAGAGUUUUUUAAUAAUUUAUUGAAGCUAAAUGAAUUGGAGACACCUGAACUUUCAUCUAUUUAAAAAUAGGCAAGAAUACUUUAAAUUUUUUUUUAUUUUCUACCUAAACUUUUAAUGUUUUACAAUUAACCAUCUAACUUUUUAUCCUCUUAAUUUAAAGUGACUAAUUUUAGCUUAAUAUCCCAUUACAAGAAGUUUGCUAGAGAUAUGGAUAUCAGCAAGCAAGAAAGCGAAAGUUUGGAUGGUUCUGGUGGAUGCAAAUGAACCUGGGUUGGUGGAGCUCAUGUAGGGAUCCACCACGAUUGAGAUGGCAAGUGAGAACUAAAAUUAUAGAAAAAUAUAACCAGUUCCGAAUCGGUCCCGAGCCGCCGAGUGAAUAGAGUGGGAAGUAGGAGACCCCUAUCUUCUUUUGAUCCGCACCAUCUGCCAAAAUAUGUCAAAAAUCUGCUCUCAGCCCGAUCCGUCCCAAAUGAUGUAGUAAGUGCGAGCCAAAAAUAGCAUUGAAAUUAACUCAUUCGGACCCGAUGAUAAAUAAAAUGGGAGGUAGGGGACUCCUCUCGUCCCUAAAUCCGCUCUGUUUGUAUCCCUAAAGUAAAGAGUAUUCCUAUACUUUUUAUUUUUUGAUUUCGUUAAUUCAUUCUUCCUAUACGGCCCAGAUUUUUUUUUUUUUUUUUCUUUUGUGGCCUAUAAGAGCAGGUUAUUUGGAGAUGGGGUACUGAUUACUAGGUACUCUGAAGAGAAAUAUUUUGGUCUUUUAAAAUAGGGGUAAUUAAGUAAUUGUGCCUCCGCUCUCUCUUUCUCCAUUAUUUCUCUCCUCUCUCCGUGUCCCCUUUCUUUCUCUAUUUUUCCUCUCCAUUCUACUAUUAGGAUUUAGUUAUAUUUGUAGUUGAAUCCUAAUUGGAUUAUAAUUAAUAUUUAAAUCUGUUUGAGAUAAAUUAAGAUUUAAUAUGAAUCUAACAUAUUAGGAUAAAUAUUGAAAUUUAUUGGAGAUAAAUCAAAUAUAGAUUUAAAUGUUAUUUGGAGUAGGAAUCCUAAUUGGAUUAGGAUUCAGGUACGUUUUGAUAUAAGCUUCAUAAAUAGCUCCAUUGGUGGAGAGCUUAAAGAGUUGUACGGUGAAGUUGAGACUCUUGAGGAGGGUACGAUGAAAUGUCUUGAAGCCAUUAGUGGGCCGUACCAAAGAGAAGCUUGGCCAUGAGUUGUAUGCACCUAGUACACGGGUGGAUGUGAGAGAGAUAAGAGAGUUGUCAUUUAGUUGUCUUUUAGGUUUAUAAAAAACGAGAGAAGGGUAGGAGAGAUUCAAAAAGAGGGUUCGGGAUUGUAGCUACUCUAUACAGAAGAGGAGUCAUUUGUAAUCUUCUCUUAUUUAAUGAAUCUUAUUUUACACGCAAAUUUUCUUUUUUGGUUUUUCUCUCUUCUGUGAUUGUAUCAAUUUUUGCUGAGGAGACAGGUUUAUGGUAAAAAUCUGAUUCGACGCUUCCGUUGCGGAAUCACAACAAUUAGUAUUUGAUCAACAACAGUUGGUAUCGGAGCGGGUUGCAGAUUCACAAAAUCUAGUACCGGGGCGAGUACCGGAUUCCCAACAAUUGGUAUUAGAGUUUAAGGCUACCGAUCUGCGGGAGAGAUCGACGAAGAUUGCUACAAAAUUCAAAAUCGAGAAGUUCGACGACAAGAAUAAUUUCAGAUUGUAGUAGAUUAAAGUACAGACGAUCCUCGUACAACAAGAGUUUAAUGAGACGUUGAACGGGAAGGAGGCGAAGCCGGCGGAGGUCACGAAUGCGACAUAGAUGAAGAUAGAACAGAAGGCGUUGAGCACGCUUCAUCUGUCAUUAGCAGAUGAGGUUCUUUACAACGUAGCCAGCGAGACGACACCAGCGAAGUUGUGGAAGAAAUUAAAAGAUCUGUAUAUGACCAAAUUCUUGAGGAACAGGUUGUAUCUGAAGCAGUGACUGUUUACGCUGCGGAUGUAGGAAGCGGCGAGCCUUCAUGAGCAUCUUAACGAGUUCAAUAAGGUGGUGGCCCAGUUGACUAGCAUCGGAGUCAAUCUGGAUGGUAAGGAUAAGGUGCUGAUUUUACUAUCUUCACUACCGGCGACAUAUGAGUAUCUGGUGAUCACAUUGCUUUAUAGCAAGGAGACCAUAAGCGUGGAGGUGGUCAUGGCGGCAUUUCUCUUGAACGAGAUACGGAAGAUGACUCAGGAGUUCAGCACGCAAAGUCAGGAUGUAAGGCUGGUGGUGAGAGCGAAAAAAGAGGCGACAACAUCGGCGACCGGAUAUCGACAGAAGAAGCCGCUAUCUGAGGUCGAGUGCUUUUACUGUCAUAGGAAAUGGCAUAUUAAGCGCAAUUGUCGAAAACUUCAGGAUAAUCUGAAGGAGUUAAAGCGACAGAAGGAGAAAACUAUUGUGAAACAGGAUGAGACGGUAUCAGCGACGGCGUAGGCGACAGAGUCGAAGACGAUCGAUUCUGAUGUGCUGUAUGCGGCGACCGGAUGUGCUAAAAUUUCGGAUGACUCGUGGGUGCUUGAUUCGGCGUGUUCUUUUCACGUAUACCAGGAAAAGGAGUCUUUUGUCAUCUAUAAAGCGAUCAAGGGUGGAAAAGCUCUGAUGGGGAACGGAACAGCUUGCACACUUUUAGAAAUCGGCACGGUGAAGAUCCGAAUGCACGAUAGGGUCGUGAGGAUGCUGACAAGUGUGCGACAUGUUCCUAAUUUGAAGCGAAAUUUGAUCUCGUUAGGGACAUUGGACUCGAAGGGUUGCGAUUUUUCAGCUUCAGAUGGAGCUAUGAGGGUCCGAAAGAGAGAUCAGGUCGUGUGCGAGGCAAACAAACGCGGUAACUUAUACGUUCUGAACGGGAGUACAGUCGAAACGGGAGCGAAAAUGGUUUAGGUUCCAAAAGUUUACGGAGGUGCAGUCGCUCGAGGCAGAACGACGAAUGCGGCGACAUAGAGUGGAGACAAGCUCAAGAUGGAGCUUGCAUGGUGAGCUCGACGCAAGGGUUGAAAACUAUAAAUCCAACUAAGGUGGAGAAUGUUAGGAUUUGGUUAGAUUUGUAAUUGAAUCCUAUUAGGAUUAAUAUUUAAAUCUGUUAAAGAUAAAUUAAGAUUUAAAUAUUAAUUAGAGUAUGAAUCUAACUAGAUUAGGAUAAAUAUUUAAAUAUAUUAGAGAUAAAUCAAAUAUAGAUUUAAAUAUUAUUUGGAGUAGGAAUUUUAGUUGGAUUAGGAUUCGGGUAUAUUUUGAUGUAAACUUUAUAAAUAGCUCCAUUGGUGGAGAGCUUGAGGAGGGUAUAGUGAGGUGUCUUGAAGCCAUUGGUGGACCGUACCAAAGAGAAGGUUGGCCAUGAGUUGCAUGCACCUAGUGCAUGAGUGCAAGUGAGAGAGAAAGAGAGUUGUCUUUUAGGUUUAUAAAAGACGAGAGAAGAAUAAGAGAGAUUCACAAAGAGGGCUCGGGAUUGUAGCCACUCAGAAGAGAAGUCAGGUGUAAUCUUCUUUUAUUUAAUGAAUCGUAUUUUACCCGCAUUUUUUUUUUAGUUUUUCUCUCUUUUGUAAUUGUAUCAGUUUUUGCUGUGGAGACGGAUUUAAGAUAAAAACCCGAUUCGUUGCGGAAUCACAACAAUUGGUACCGCAUCAACAACAGUCGGUAUCAGAGCGGUUUACGGAUUCACAAAAUCCGAUACCGAGGCGAGUACCGGAUUCCCAACAUCUACAUAAUCACUGCCUCUCCAUUUCCCCAUUUUCUCAUUUCCUCUCUCUUUUCUCUCCGUUUAACCAAAAAUUAAAAAAAUAAAAUAAAAUAAAAAAAUCUCUGGAGGACAAUCCAAAUAGCAUUCUAAAAGGUGAUACAAUAUUGGGGCACCUCUGCAGCGUCGGCGCAGUCAAGGCCUUCUAGAGGAUUCUUUACGAGGGCUCCGGUCCGGUGGAGGCUUCAAAAUUAAUGUCUAAAUUAAUAAAGCUCUAAAAUUCCUUUUAUAUAUGAGCAAUGCUCUUAUGCACCGAACAAAUCUCAAUCAUUACGAUAGACCUAUAAAAAGAGGGUUGGCACUUGAGGGUAUAGGUACUGGUCACCACUUUAAUAAGGGCAAAAUUUUUUUUUAUUACAUGGAGUUUGCAAUAAGGGCAUUUUGGUAAAUUUUCAUCCUCGUAACAUGUCAUUUUUGUAAAUUUAGAAUAUUCCACCUUCCUUCAUUCUUAUCCUCUAAUAUUCCAUCGUUGUAUUAUUAUCUUUCCUAAAUUAAACCUCAUGUCUUUAAACCAUAGUUAGUUAAUUCGAGUACGAUAAAAAUUCGAUACGGAUAAAAUACGAAUAAAAUUCGUAACUUAAUUUUUAAGUUCGUUGAAAAAUACGGUUUAAAAAUUAGAUUCGCCAAUAAUUUGUAUACGCGAUUUAUACGAAAAUUUUACGUUUAUCAUUUAAAAAUUCGGAAUAAAAAUUCGUUUAUUUAAUUGAAAUUUUUUUAGAUUUAUGCUAUUAUCAUGCAUAAAUAAUUAUAAUUCUUAUAAAAUAUAAAAAUAAAAUUGGAUAUAUAUAUAUAUAUAUAUAUAUAUAUAUAUAUAUAUACACACACACACAAAAACAAUCAUGAGAAAAUAAAACUAUCGGAUUCAUUAAUUCCCACACUAUCACAAAUCCUCAAAGGGGAAUGAAGAGAUAGAACUAGUUAUAUAGAACGGUUAUGUAUUUGAUUUAUUUUUUGCAACUUAUUCUAGUUUAAUUAUAAAGUAAUUUUAGCUGGGUUUGCUGAACCAUUGACAAAUUCUACAUCCUUUUAUUAGUAACACCUACUGUGCAAGCUUACCUGUUUGGAUGAAAGGAAACAUAAUAACAGUGACAAAGAAUNCAUUGGAUCUACUCCUUGAUUACUAAUAGCCCUUGGAUCAAACACUAUUCCACCUACCACCACCGACCAUCAUCAUCUCAACCUCAUAUCUCUCUAUCCAAUGGCUAAAAUCUCAAAAGCACCACUCACAUAAUACUUUUACAAGUAUUCUAGCUUAACUCUAUAUAUAUAUAGAGCGAGAGGUCCACCGUGGACCUCUCACUCCACACAGUCCACGAGGCUGAGUGCAGCCUUAUGGACCGCAAUAUUUUCCUACACGUAGGCCGCAAUUUCUUCUUCCUCUAAUAUUUUUAAACUUUUUAAAUUAAUUGUUUUUGCUAUCGAACGAACAAUUUAAAUUAAUUUUAAAAAUAAAAGCCUUUAAUUUAAAUAAAAAAUAAAAGUUAUAUUUAUAAAUACAGCAUAAUUUAUAAUUUAAAUUAAAUUAUAUAUAUUUGAAAUUUCGUGUCAUUUUAAUAUAUCAAAUUAAACAAUUUGAAUUGAAAUAUACUAUUCAUUUAAACAUAAAUUUUUUCAUUCUGAAAUAAAAAUAAAAAUUAAAUUUGAAUUUAAUGACACAAUUAUAAAGUUUAAGCUCAAAUUGAAUUUUAAAUUCAAUUUAUAAAGGUUAUUACUUAUCAAAUUAGCACUAUCUAAUUUGGAAAGUAACAAAAUUAAACAAGGAAACAAAUAUUUGUAUAAAGUUGAUCAAAUUUGGUAAUUAGUUUGUAUUUUUUUCCCAUAUUAUCCUUACAAAUGGUAACCUGUUGAGCAGGUAACCACUAUGCAAAAGUCAAUCUUUUCCCUUAAAAUAUGAACGAUUAGAUUUAUUUUAUAUGGUGUAUUGAAGCAUUCCUCUAUAUAAUAUAUAUAUAUAUAUAUAUGAGAGAGAGAGAGAGAGAGAGAGAGAGAGAGAGAAGAGAGAGAGAGGAGAGAGAGAGAGCUAGCUGAUAUACUAUCGGUAGCACGUAUAUAUAUAUAUAUAUAUAUAUAUAUAGAGAGAGAGAGAGAGAGAGAGAGAGAGAGAGAGAGAGAGAGAGAGAGAGAGAGAGAGCUAGGCUGAUAUACUAUCGGUAGCACGAAGAUUUCCGUGCUACCAAGUUGUUUUCAAUGAUACGGCUUUUAAAUCGACAAUCGGCUUUGUUGGACUUGAUCUACACUAUUAAAAAUAUUUGGAAACUAAAUUUCAUAAUUUUUCGACAUCAUUUGACUAAUAAUAAAAAAGCUUCAAAAUUGACAAUUUUAAUGGUAGAUGUGAUGCGUUUGUGAAUUUAAUGAUGUAAAACAAUCCAAAUCUGAUGAAAGUUUUAUAGAAAAUUCUUUUUACUAUUUAGAGUAAGAUCAAUACUUCUGAUCUUAAAUUCAAGUCUUUUAUCAUUAUUUUUUAAGAGAUUUUUAUUUUCAGCUGUUCAUUUUAGACUACUUGUUUGAUAGGUAGAUGAUGCUGAAAAAUUAUGAAAUUUAGUUUUCAAACAUUUUCAAUAGUGUGGAUUAAGUCUAACGGAGCCGAUCGUCGAUUUAGAAGCCGCAUCAUUGAAAAUACAAAGAGGAUCGUACUCAUAAGAGUAUAGUAGCCGGACUCGAUAACUUGUUGGUCGUGAGCUAGCUCAAUAUUAUUCUUUAUUAAUCAAUAAU
rnacentral:lncRNA from 1 species